rnacentral:rRNA from 1 species
AUACGGCUCUGGGGACGAGAGGACCGCAGCGCGCCUUCUUGGCAUUGGCUUCGGCCUUUUCCGCGCUAAGGAUUCUGGCUUAAUGGCUUUAAGCGACCCGUCUUGAAACACGGACCAAGGAGAACACUCGCACACAUGUUAGAGUUC